GACGAACGCUGGCGGCGUGCCUAAUACAUGCAAGUAGAACGCUGAAGGAGGAGCUUGCUUCUCCGGAUGAGUUGCGAACGGGUGAGUAACGCGUAGGUAACCUGCCUGGUAGCGGGGGAUAACUAUUGGAAACGAUAGCUAAUACCGCAUAACAGUAGAUGUUGCAUGACAUUUGCUUAAAAGGUGCAAUUGCAUCACUACCAGAUGGACCUGCGUUGUAUUAGCUAGUUGGUGAGGUAACGGCUCACCAAGGCGACGAUACAUGGCCGACCUGAGAGGGUGAUCGGCCACACUGGGACUGAGACACGGCCCAGACUCCUACGGGAGGCAGCAGUAGGGAAUCUUCGGCAAUGGACGGAAGUCUGACCGAGCAACGCCGCGUGAGUGAAGAAGGUUUUCGGAUCGUAAAGCUCUGUUGUAAGAGAAGAACGAGUGUGAGAGUGGAAAGUUCACACUGUGACGGUAUCUUACCAGAAAGGGACGGCUAACUACGUG
rnacentral:rRNA from 1 species